rnacentral:tRNA from 1 species
AGUGAGAUAGGAUAAGUUAGUCUAGUGGGCUCAUACCCUGAAGGUAUCCUUAGUGGUUCUCACUC